UUACCUGAUUUUCGAGAGGUGGUGCAUGGCCGUCGUCAGUUCGUACCGUAAGGCGUUCUGUUAAGUCAGAUAACGAACGAGACCCUCACCCUUAAUUGGCCAACCCAUUCUCCGGAGUGGGCGCACGAUUAAGGGGACCGCUGGCGCUAAGUCAGAGGAAGGAGAGGUCAACGGUAGGUCAGUAUGCCCCGAAUCUCCCGGGCUACACGCGCGCUACAAAGGAUAGGACAAUGGGAUGCGAUACCGAAAGGUAAAGCGAACCCCGAAACCUAUUCGUAGUUCGGACUGAGGGCUGUAACUCGCCCUCACGAAGCUGGAUUCCGUAGUAAUCGCUCGUCAACAUCGAGCGGUGAAUAUGCCCUGCUCUUU
rnacentral:rRNA from 1 species